GACGAACGCUGGCGGCGUGCUUAACACAUGCAAGUCGAGCGGUAAGGCCCUUUCGGGGGUACACGAGCGGCGAACGGGUGAGUAACACGUGGGUGACCUGCCCUUAGCUCUGGGAUAAGCCUGGGAAACUGGGUCUAAGUACCGGAUAUGACUCCAUGACGCAUGUUGUGGGGUAGGAAAGGCCUUGUGCGGCUAGGGAUGGGCCCGCGGCCUAUCAGCUUGUUGGUGGGGUGAUGGCCACCAAGGCGACGACGGGUAGCCGGCCUGAGAGGGCGACCGGCCACACUGGGACUGAGACACGGCCCAGACUCCUACGGGAGGCAGCAGGUGGGGAAUCUUGCGCAAUGGGCGAAAGCCUGACGCAGCGACGCCGCGUGGGGAUGACGGCCU
rnacentral:rRNA from 1 species